rnacentral:rRNA from 1 species
UACGUAGGGGGCGAGCGUUGUCCGGAUUUAUUGGGCGUAAAGAGCUCGUAGGCGGUCUGUUACGUCUGCUGUGAAAACCCAGGGCUUAACCCUGGGCUUGCAGUGGAUACGGGCAGACUAGAGGCAGGUAGGGGAGAGCGGAAUUCCUGGUGGAGCGGUGAAAUGCGUAGAUAUCAGGAGGAACGCCGGCGGCGAAAGCGACUCUCUGGCCUGUAACUGACGCUGAGGCGCGAAAGCUAGGGGAGCAAACGGG